UACGUAGGGUCCGAGCGUUGUCCGGAGUUACUGGGCGUAAAGCGCGCGCAGGCGGCGGUGUUGGCCCGGCGUGAAAGCCCCCGGCUCAACCGGGGAGAGUCGUCGGGGACCGCACCGCUUGAGGGCGGUAGGGGCUGGUGGAAUGCCUGGUGUAGUGGUGAAAUGCGUAGAUAUCGGGAGGAACACCCGUGGCGAAGGCGGCCAGCUGGGAUACACCUGACGCUGAGACACGAAGGCGUGGGGAGCGAACGGG
rnacentral:rRNA from 1 species